CCAUCUGAUCCACUGGCAAGUCCAGACAGGGCCCCGUGAUGUCAUUGGUCCUCUUGGAGAAUGAAGGACAAACAACACCAGAGCGUGGGGACGAUGCCUGUUUCGUUUUUGCUUUGCUGUUAAGAUUUGGCCCUCCCUGACUGCCCAGGGCCCGUGCGCACAGUAGGAGCCCAACAAAGGCUGGGAGACCUCAACACUUGAAACAAUCGAACGUGGGAGAGAGCAGUGCCUCGAUGGCUCCAGAAUUAAGAACCACAAUUUCCAGGAAAACCUCGACAGGAACAAAACAGGCUCAGGUAAGGCUGCCAGCUCAUCACCCAGAGAGAAAGGAGCGUGGGAGGCCCAAGUUCAAAGACCCACAGCCCAGGGACGGACUGGAGCUCAGAAUUCACUAUGGGUGAGGGACCUCCCUCUGCUGAUGCAGGAAGAUUCUGAAGAUCACCUGGCAGGAUAAGGCUUUGGAC